CGCGCUUUUAAGCUCCACGACCUUAUCUCUCAUACCUCAGCCGCCUGGCCUGAAGCGAAGCUGUCUUGCCCGAGAAGAGAGUGGUCACGGUGUCGCGUGGUAACAAAGCUUAGGACGAGGAGAGCCUACAUGAGAAAGGACGUCCUCCGGUUUCUAGACAUUGGAAAGUCGAAGAUUAAGGUCCCAGCCUAUUCUGUUCCCUGUCCAGGACCCUUUUCCUGUCUUGCAGAAGAGAGGAAGGGAAAGGGAGAGAAAAUCAUUGAUCGCUGCCUUCUGCACACCUCCUACUGUGGAUGGAACCUGCAACCCAGACAUGUGCCCUGACCGUGAUUUGAAUCGUGACUCCUAGUGUCAUAGAUCAAUACCCAACCACUGAGCUACACCAAGUCUCCCAUCAGGAUAAAGCAGCAUCUGUCAUGCAAAUACCGCCCUGUGCAGAAGUGAGGGAAGACUGCUGCAGAAGUGAAUACAGGCAACAUCUUUGAUCCCAGGGCACAGGUCUUUGAGAGGAAAUCUCCAAGCCUCUCGAAGAGGCAUUAGAAGGCUAUCCAGGCAGCAAAAGUACCUCAGGAUCAUGGCUGAUAAAAACCAGGAGAUCGGUGACACCCAUUCCCCUUUUCUCUUCACACCCUAUUCCAUCCAGAUAGACUUCUUGACAGUGCUGUACCAGGUGUUGGAAGAUGGCAAGAGUGGGAUAUUUGAGAGUCCAACUGGCACUGUAAGUAUGAACAGUUGCCCCAAGAGGGCUCUUGGGAGACCCUGAUUACAACUAGUCAAUGGUUUAUUUGCCUCUGCAGAGAUUUUCAUGGUUUGGAGUUGGGCAAAGUAGUUUUCUCAGUUUACCUUUCUGAGUAAUGCUCACUUCCCUCUAUUAAAUUGUUAAACACAACCCCGGGUUCUAAGGAAAAUUAGGUUACAGGCUAAGGAGAAUUUGAAUGGCAGUGGUUCUCCUUCAGGGAGCAACAUAGAAAUUUAUUGCCCUGCCAGGUUGGGCUCAGUUGGUUGAGCAUUGUCCCAUGUACCAGGAAGUUACUGGUUUGAUUCCUGGUCAGGGCACAUGCCUGGUUUGUGGGUUGAACCCCAGUAGGGGCAUGCAGAAGAUAGCUGAUCAAUGUU